UUGGUUUGUUACGGGUGGUUGGCUGUCUGCUUGCGCUACAACUUCUACCUGGCUUACCAUUUUCAGUUGUGUGUUAAGGUGUCGAUUGCCUUUGCACACUGUGGGUUUCCUGUGUUGCCUACCUAAGUGACGGUAUUGUUUUGCUUGAUCAAAGUCCCUUUUCGUCUUGUGUUACACUCGUGGCAUGGGAUGAACCUUGAAGUGGUCUCAAUGAUCUACACCAUUGACGUGCAUGCGUUGACGAUGUGGCCAAUUGAGCAUUGCUUAGUCUUGUGGAUACAGAACCUUAUGUUGGCAUGGGGUCUAUUUGGAUCCUUGUUUUGCCCUCAUUAAGCGUUCACGCUUCAACAAACGACCGCUCAUCAUGCAUUGGCUUGUACCAGCGUGGUGGGUUAUGUCGAAGAGGAAUGCUACCUGGUUGAUCCUGCCAGUAGUCAUAUGCUUGUCUCAA
rnacentral:misc_RNA from 1 species